UAGGGAAUAUUCCCAGAUUAGACUAUAAAUCGGCUCUCUGGUAAAAAAAUUCUCUUGCCCCUCACAGCCUCUUGUCUCUGGUUCCAGCCUUGGGAGGUCUGUCCUGGUACCUUAUCUUCUGGACUUGGAUGAAUCUGGAAACCGCCAUUCUCAGCAAACUGACACAAGAACAGAAAGCCAAACACCGUAUGUUCUCACUCAUAGCCACAUGCAACAAAGAGACUAAAGAAUCCAAUCAAUGGAUGGAUGUGUUUAACUUUUCGAUCGUUUUGGAAGUCCAAUUGCCAGAGACUAAUGAAAGAAGGGAUAGAGGGUGGAAGCAGCUACUCCUUAAAGCACUCAGUUGUGAAAGAGCCCAGUGUUCUAAGGAACAGAGAGAUACUCAAGUGGGGAGAGCUGUAACAGGAAGAGCAAAGAAAUGUGCAUGUAAACACGCAUGUUGA
ensembl:lncRNA